AAUGUGCUGUUGGAUUCUGUUUGCUAGUAUUUUGUUGAGGAUUUUUGCAUCUAUGUUCAUCAGUGAUAUUGGCCUGUAGUUUUCUUUUUUUGUGACAUCUUUGUCUGCUUUUGGUAUCAGGGUGAUGGUGGCCUUGUAGAAUGAGUUUACGAGUGUUCCUUCCUCUGCUAUAUUUUGGAAGAGUUUGAGAAGGAUAGGUGUUAGCUCUUCUCUAAAUGUUUGAUAGAAUUCACCUGUGAAGCCAUCUGGUCCUGGGCUUUUGUUUGUUGGGAGAUUUUUAAUCAGUUUCAAUUUCAGUGCUUGUGAUUUGUGUGUUCAUAUUUUCUAUUUCUUCCUAGUUCAGUCUCGGAAGGUUGUGGUUUUCUGAAUGUGUCCAUUUCUUCCAGGUUGUCCAUUUUAUUGGCAUAGAGUUGCUUGUAGUAAUCUCUCAUGAUCCUUUGUAUUUCUGCAGUGUCAGUUGUUACUUCUCCUUUUUCGUUUCUAAUUCUGUUGAUUUGAGUCUUCUCCCUUUUUUUCUUGAUGAGUCUGGCUAAUGGUUUAUCACUUUUGUUUAUCUUCUCAAAGAACCAGCUUUUAGUUUUAUUGAUCUUUGCUAUAGUUUCCUUCAUUUCUUUUUCAUUUAUUUCUGAUAUGAUCUUUAUGAUUUCUUUCCUUCUGCUAACUUUGGAGUUUUUUUGUUGUUCUCUCUCUAAUUGCUUUGGGUGUAAGGUUAGGUUGUUUAUUUGAGAUGUUUCUUUUUUUUUAAUUAAUUUUUCUUUUCUUUUCUUUUUUGCGGUACGUGGGCCUCUCACUGUUGUGGCCUCUCCCGUUGCGGAGCACAGGCUCCAGAUGUGCAGACUCAGUGGCUAUGGCUCUCGGACCCAGCCGCUCUGCAGCAUGUGGGAUCUUCCCUGACCGGGGCAGGAACCCAUGUCCCCUGCAUCGGCAGGCGGACUCUCAGCCACUGCGCCACCAGGGAAGCCCUGUUUCUUGUUUCUUAAGCCGUCUCAGAGCUGUGACUAUUUUCAAGGCUACUGUUUUUCUCUGUGGAACACUGCCUUUGGGACAAAACAAGGAAGAAGCAGGUAUGUCACAAGGAGCUCAAAAUGAGAGUGACUCAUACUUUAUAGGGAACAGCCCACCUGAAAGCCAUGGGCAGGAGACUCUUGCCAAGAUUAUAGAGAUUUAGAAUUAGCAGGGAUC
rnacentral:lncRNA from 1 species